rnacentral:rRNA from 1 species
UGGGGAAUCUUCCGCAAUGGACGAAAGUCUGACGGAGCAACGCCGCGUGAGUGAAGACGGCCUUCGGGUUGUAAAGCUCUGUGAUCCGGGACGAAAGAGCCUGAGGUGAAUAGCCUAAGGAAGUGACGGUACAGGAAAAGCAAGCCACGGCUAACUACGUGCCAGCAGCCGCGGUAAUACGUAGGUGGCAAGCGUUGUCCGGAAUUAUUGGGCGUAAAGCGCGCGCAGGCGGCUUCCUAAGUCCAUCUUAAAAGUGCGGGGCUUAACCCCGUUAUGGGAUGGAAACUGGGAAGCUGGAGUAUCGGAGAGGAAAGUGGAAUUCCUAGUGUAGCGGUGAAAUGCGUAGAGAUUAGGAAGAACACCGGUGGCGAAGGCGACUUUCUGGACGAAAACUGACGCUGAGGCGCGAAAGCGUGGGGAGCAAACAGG